AGGUCAGUAGGGCUCCCGCUCCUAGAUCACCUCAGCUUCCCAAGCUCAGAGCGCGGGUUCGAUUCCCGUCAUCC
rnacentral:tRNA from 1 species